GUUAUGAGCUCCUUUGAGGGAGAAAAAUCUUCAAUUCAAAGGCGUGGGGAGGAAGUGCCCAGCAAGAGACAGAGAUGAAAUUGCCAGUAAUGAUGGACGAGGAAGGUCCAUUAGAGUACUGCUGAGCAGAACCUGAGAGCAAAAGAGAUGAAUGGCCCUAGAUGACCAGGCUCCACUGAAAUCUUUGUGAUGUGGUUAUCUAUCUCUAAGGAGGCAGUAAGUGAAUCACCCGUGAAGUCUAGGAGAGAGCUGUGUAGGCCUGGAACAGCUGGAGCACAU
rnacentral:lncRNA from 1 species